rnacentral:snRNA from 1 species
AUUGUCGUUGCCAUCUCUCCAUCUCUCACCCUCGGCUGUGGCGGUGGUGACGAGACGAGACGAGACGAGGCAGGCAGGGCAGGGCGAGGCGAGGCGAGACGAGGCGAGGCGAGUUAGGGGAGGUACUACUGAAGUGGAGAAGUAGGUGGGAGUAGAGUGCAGGUGGGGUAGUGAGAUGGUGGAGAGGAGAGGGAGGUGGUGAUGAGUGGCGUGUGAGGAGUAGGGUGCGUGGGCGUAGGAAAGCAGAAGAGACGUGGUGGUGUGAGGCGAUGUGUGGUGAUGGAGACG